CUUGCAUUAACAUUACACCUUUGUGCUGAUUAUUAAUGGCGUUUAGGCCAAUUGCAACCUGAACAAGGUGAACAUUACAGCUUUAUGCCUAUUAUUAAUGGCGUUGCUGGAGGUGGAGGUGGAGGGUCAUAACACAGCCUAACAAAGAUCUGUGAUUGUUACAUUAACCACUGAUGCAUUUAAUAUCCAGUUGCAUAUCUAUUUUAUCCGUAUCACAUCGAUCGUCAUACCACAAUUACCGUACCAUUUUGACUUAUCGCAAUCAACAUAUCGUCUGUACCCUACCGAUUAUCAUACCACAAUUACCAUGCCACAUGACAGAAUGCAACCUGAACAAGGUGCAUUUCUAAUACAGCUUUGUGCUGAUUGUUAAUGGCGUUGUAAGCCAAUUGCAACCUGAACAAGGUGCAUUAAUAUUGCAGCUCUGUGCUGAUUAUUAAUGGCAUUGUAAGCCAAUUGCAACCUAAACGAGGUGCAUUAACAUUACAGAUUUGUGCUGAUUAUUAAUGGCGUUGUAAGCCAAUUGCAACCUAAACGAGAUGCAUUAACAUUACAGCUUUGUGCUGAUUAUUAAUGGCGUUGUAAGCCAAUUGCAACCUGAACAAGGUGCACAUGCAACCUAAACAAGGUGUGCAUUACAGCAUUGAGCUGAUUGCACAAUUUUUUUUAUAAGCAACUUAGGAUUGUAGUCAGAUCUUAAGUUAUUUUUUACCCAAUACCCAGGUCUAAAGGUUCUUAAUGGUUGUUUAAUUUUAUUUAACUAAUUUUUGUAAUAUAUCUAAACGGGGGAAAUGAAAAGAAGUCAUAUUGCUGUUAAAAAAAAAAUUCUUGAAAAAAAACUGAGAAGUUUUUUAGUUUUCUUUUGUUCAAAAAGUGUGUCUUUUUUCUAUUUUCUUAAAAGAAAAAAAAUUUUUGCUUAUGCUUUUAUUUGUACAAAACUAAAUUUUUUUAAAAUUCAGUUUAGUUGCUUAUAAAAAGAAUGUGUAUUAACAUAAAGGUUUAAAUUCAAAACCUUACCAUACAUACAGCCUUAUCGCAAUCAACAUAUUGUCUGUACCGUCCCUGUCAUACCACGAUUACCGUGCUGUUUUGACUUAUCGCAAUCAAAAUCUCGUCUUUACCUUAUUGGUCAUCAUAACACAAUUACCAUACCAUUUCGACUUUUUGCAAUCAACAUAUUGCCUUACCGUACCGAUCAUCAUACCACAAUUACCAUUUCGACCUAAAGGAUUCAACAUAAAUCGUCAGUACCCAUCAUACCACAAUUACCAUACCGUUUUCACUUAUCGCAAUCAACGUAUCGUCUGUACCUUACCGAUCAUCAUAACACAAUUACCAUACCCUUUCGAUUUACCAGAUUCAACAUAUCGCCUGCACCCAUUAUACCACAAUUACCAUACCGUUUCGACUUAUCCCAAUCAACAUAUCGUUUUACCAUACCGAUCAUUGUACCACAAUUACCAUACCCUUUCUACUUACCAGAUUCAACAUAUUGUCUGUACCCAUUAUAUCACAAUUACUUAAACAAGGUACAUUAACAUUACAGCUUUGUGCUGAUUAUUAAUGGCGUUGUAGGCCAAUUGCAGCCUGAACAAGGUGCACAUGCAACCUGAACAAGGUGCAUUACAGCAUUGAGCUGAUUGCACAAUUUUUUUUAUAAGCAAAUUGGAUUUUGGUCAGAUCUCAUGUUAUUUUUUAGUCAAUAUCUAAGUCUUAUUUUUGUUAAACAUAUAUAUAAUAAACGGGAAAAAGAAACUAAGUCAUAUUUUGGUAAAAAAGAUAUUUCUUAAAAAUAAACUGAAGUGUGCAAAAAAAAUUAUUCUUGCUUGUGCUUAUA